rnacentral:rRNA from 1 species
GUGGGGAAUCUUCCGCAAUGGACGAAAGUCUGACGGAGCAACGCCGCGUGAGUGAUGAAGGUCUUCGGAUUGUAAAGCUCUGUUAAUCGGGACGAAAGAGCCUAGUGUGAAUAAUGCUAGGAAGUGACGGUACCGGAAUAGAAAGCCACGGCUAACUACGUGCCAGCAGCCGCGGUAAUACGUAGGUGGCAAGCGUUGUCCGGAAUUAUUGGGCGUAAAGCGCGCGCAGGCGGAUCUGCCAGUCUGUCUUAAAAGUUCGGGGCUUAACCCCGAGAUGGGAUGGAAACUACAGAGCUAGAGUAUCGGAGAGGAAAGUGGAAUUCCAAGUGUAGCGGUGAAAUGCGUAGAUAUUAGGAAGAACACCAGUGGCGAAGGCGACUUUCUGGACGAAAACUGACGCUGAGGCGCGAAAGCCAGGGGAGCGAACGGGAUUAGAAACCCGAGUAGUCC